UCCGGUGAUCUUACCGCGGGGGCACCACCCGUUCCCAUCCCGAACACGGAAGUUAAGCCCCGCAGGGCCGAUUGUACUGCAUGCGAAAGUGUGUGGGAGAGUAGGUCGUUGCCGGAU
rnacentral:rRNA from 1 species